GAAGAACAGCCAGUGCUCUUAACCGCAAAGCCAUCUCUCCAGCCUCUCUUUAUAGAGUUUUUUUUGAAAAGGCAUGUCUUGCAGAUACUCAUGUUGUUCUAUAGGUAUUCGCUACUGUACCAAGCUUCCAAGCCUCUUAAAAGGAUAUAAAUAAUAUUGGAUUAGAGCCACGUGCUUAUGAUCCCCAGAUAGCCUUAACUGAUGCUUUUAAAAACCGUGCUUCAGGCUGGAAGUGUAUCUCAGCCAGUAGAGUGCUUGCCUACAUGAAAGAAGCACUGGCUUUGAUUCCUGGGCACGGUGGCACAUGCCCGCCCUAGCACUCUAGAGAUGGUGGGGGAUGGGGGUUCAGAGGCUCCUUCAGAUACAUGAUGAGUUUGAAGCUGGCCAGGGCACAUAAGACCUUCUGCACCUCCAACAACAACCACAACAAAACAAUUGUACUUCCAAACUAGUCGCAUUCUGAGGUACCCGGCAGCUAGAUUUUCAACUUCUGAAUUUUGUCAAAAUAUAGUUUGGCCCAUAACACCUACUAAAUCAGGAUCUAAUUCUAACGAAAGCAUCAAAGGACUUGUGUGGACAUUUACGUCGGGAAAGUGCAUGCCUGGGUGGGCGGUCUCCCUGGAAUGGGAUUAUUUUAUGUGUGUUUUCCCCCUGCCCCGCUUGGAUCUGGAACAGUGAAGUACUGAGGAGCUAAAGGUCACUUGCCCUUGAAGACAGGGUCUAAAGCAGCCCGGGCCAGGCCAGAUUUGAACUUGCUCUGUAGUCAUGAAUGACCUUGAACAUCUGCCUCUCCCGCCUCUACCUUCCAAGUGCUGGCAUCACAAGCAUCUCCCGCCACAUCUGGUUUACACGGUGGUGGGCAUGGAGCACAGAGUUUGGCCUUUAAAAGCACUGGCUUUAAAAUCCUGAGUUCCUGAGUUCAAGCCUUGGAGCCCACGUGAAGGACAGAGAGAAAACUCCUGAAGGAUGUCCUCUGACCUCUGCGUGCGUGCACGUUAUAGAAAGAGCACUGCCACACAGAGAAACAUGCACAAAAUAAAGAAAUAUAAAAACAGUUUG